CAGCCCUAAACGAUGCGCGUUAGGUGUAUCGGUGACCACGAGUCACCGAGGUGCCGAAGGGAAACCGUGAAACGUGCCGCCUGGGAAGUACGGUCGCAAGGCUGAAACUUAAAGGAAUUGGCGGGGGAGCACAACAACGGGUGGAGCUUGCGGUUUAAUUGGAUUCAACGCCGGAAAUCUUACCGGGACCGACAGCAACAUGAAGGCCAAGCUGAAGACUUUGCCGGAUUAGCUGAGAGGUGGUGCAUGCGUAGUCGUGU
rnacentral:rRNA from 1 species